ACAACAGAGGCGGCAGCUGUCUCCGCUUAUUACACCUCCCCGCCCCCUGCCAUGGCCGGCACUGACUCUGCCUCUGACGCUGAGGAUACGCACUGCACACGCCCUGCCAGAUGCCAAAGGAAGCCAUUCUUCUGGAAGAAGCCUUUCUCCUGAAAGCCUCCUGGAGGCAAAGUUCUGGCAGAACGAGGCAAUUUCCCUCCCUGCAGGCGGAAGGAAGGCAAUUAGAGCGGGAGCUAGGGCUGAAAGAGGGGAAAUGAUGCAGACACUGCCACCCAGCAAGUGAGAGGAAGGACUGAACAUGGACAGAAGGGCUUGAGACAUUGAGCCUUGGCUGCUUUCACCCAUCCCUUCAAUUGCUGCCCUCUUUUCUAAUGGCCUGAGUCUCCAAAUGGAGCCAAGCUGGGGGCACCCUGGCCAGGAGAUGUGGCCUGCUGUGCCCCUGAGAAGAGCUGUCCCAGGCACACAGAGACAACAUUUGGAAGUGGAAAAUGCCUCUGGAGCAGUCAGAGUGUUGGGAAGUCUCAUCCCGUUCUCCGUUUCAGGAACCUUC